rnacentral:tRNA from 1 species
AAGGGAGACCUAAUUCAGGUAGGAGACGAAAAAAAAGUAGUCCCAACCAAGAAUCAAUCCCAAAAGGUCGGAGCGAGGCGAAAUUGGCUUUCAAACUAGGUUCUGGGUUCACACAAGGCCUGAAUCAGGAACAAGGGCUAUUAGCUCAGGUGGUUAGAGCGCACCCCUGAUAAGGGUGAGGUCCCUGGUUCGAGUCCAGGAUGGCCCACCUGCACAGGUGGCAAAAACAAGAGAAGCGAGGAAUCAGCACCUUAUCUUAUCUAUAUAUAUAAGGAGAGAAUGCUGGCUCUGAGUAAAGAGUCCAGAGGAACCUUGAAAACUGCAUAGAGCUAGGUGAAAAAGCCAAAAAAGAAGACCGCAA